rnacentral:rRNA from 1 species
AGAACGAACGCUGGCGGCAUGCCUAACACAUGCAAGUCGAACGCUUUUGGGGCUUCGGUCCCAAAGGAGUGGCGCACGGGUGAGUAGCGCGUGGGAACCUGCCCUGUUGUGGGGGAUAACCGAGGGAAACUUCGGCUAAUACCGCAUACGCCCGGGGGAAACUCCGGGGAAAGAUUUAUCGCAGCAGGAGGGGCCCGCGUCGGAUUAGGUAGUUGGUGGGGUAACGGCCCACCAAGCCUGUGAUCCGUAGCUGGUCUGAGAGGAUGAUCAGCCACACUGGGACUGAGACACGGCCCAGACUCCUACGGGAGGCAGCAGUGGGGAAUAUUGGACAAUGGGCGCAAGCCUGAUCCAGCAAUGCCGCGUGAGUGAUGAAGGCCUUCGGGUUGUAAAGCUCUUUCGCACGCGACGAUGAUGACGGUAGCGUGAGAGAAGCCCGCUAACUCGUGCCAGCAGCCGC